rnacentral:rRNA from 1 species
AGAGUUUGAUCAUGGCUCAGAACGAACGCUGGCGGCAUGCCUAACACAUGCAAGUCGAACGCUCUCGCAAGAGAGAGUGGCGCACGGGUGCGUAACACGUGGGAAUCUGCCCUUUGGUACGGAAUAACUCAGGGAAACUUGAGCUAAUGCCGUAUGACGCCGCAAGGCCAAAGAUUUAUCGCCAGAGGAUGAGCCCGCGUAGGAUUAGCUAGUUGGUGGGGUAAUGGCCUACCAAGGCGACGAUCCUUAGCUGGUCUGAGAGGAUGAUCAGCCACACUGGGACUGAGACACGGCCCAGACUCCUACGGGAGGCAGCAGUGGGGAAUAUUGGACAAUGGGCGAAAGCCUGAUCCAGCAAUGCCGCGUGAGUGAAGAAGGCCUUCGGGUUGUAAAGCUCUUUUACCCGGGACGAUAAUGACGGUACCGGGAGAAUAAGCCCCGGCUAACUCCGUGCCAGCCGCCGCGGUAAUAC